GGUGGGGCCGGGCGGCUUCUGAGUUCGCUGAGCAUCUGUCAGCCGCAUCUGUCGCUCUGGGCUCGAGACGCCCCUGGGUGCUUCCCUCGCUGUCUUCGCUGCUGGCAUCUCGCAUACCGAUGUCAUUAGACACUGUCUGCCCUGUGCCUGCGAUCCAGCCAGCACAGUCCCCGCACAGCAAGCUUCCUCUGUCAGAGCAGACACACCGGCUGCAGCCACAGCCGGAAGCAGGGUGACCACAGCGCUAAGGUUCUGGUUAGUUCUUUUCUAGGUUCAAGGGAAGAGGCUGUUCUAAGAAAGGCUACUGAAGUAGUUACCAACUCGGAGAAAGUCUGCUCAGGUAGACAGUUUUGUUUACCAGGCCAAAUUAAAGAAGGGGACCUCGACUGGGGACACGGGUCAGGAGUUGGGGAUGGAGGGGCACGGAGGGUUUCAGAGGUGGUGGGACUGUUCCGUCUGCUGCUGUGACGGUGGAUCCAGGUCCUCACGGCACGGAGAGCGAACCCUAAGUGACUCUGGCCUGCGGUCAGUAACACUGCAUCUGCGCGGCCUCGUCGGUUGUAACCGGUCCACUGCAGCCACACGAAAUGCUCACGACAGGGAAACGUGGGGGAGGAGGGCAGAGGGACACGGGAAUGCAGCGCUUUCUGCCCAGAUUUUCCUGUCAACCUAAAACUGCUGUCAAAAAUAAAGUCUCGUAAUUAAAAAAAAAAAAUCCCACACCCAGACUUUUGCUGGGCGGCCC